UACAGAGGGUGCAAGCGUUGUUCGGAAUUACUGGGCGUAAAGCGCGCGCAGGCGGGUCUGUAAGUCGGAAGUGAAAUUGCACUGCUCAACGGUGUAGCUGCUUCUGAUACUGCAGAUCUUUGAGACCGGUAGAGGUUGGUAGAAUUGCAGGUGUAGCGGUGGAAUGCGUAGAGAUCUGCAAGAAUACCCGUGGCGAAGGCGGCCAACUGGGCCGGUUCUGACGCUGAGGCGCGAAAGCGUGGGGAGCAAACAGG
rnacentral:rRNA from 1 species